ensembl:lncRNA
UUUAAAAAUGUUUUUAUUUAUUUUUGAGACAGAGAGAGACAGAGCAUGGGCAGGGGAGGGGCAGAGAGAGAGGGAGACACAGAAUCUGAAGCAGGCUCCAGGCUCUGAGCUGUCAGCACAGAGCCUGACAUGGGGCUCGAGCUCACGGACUGUAAGAUCAUGACGCGAGCUGAAGUCGGACGCUUAACCGACUAAGCCACCCAGGCGCCCCAAAGGCCCACAUUAUAGCCUCACCAUCCAGAGCAGGCAGGUCACCUUGGCACUCCUAGUCCCCAUCCGGCUCCCAGGCCCGGGAAAAGCAGAGCAGAGACAUGGAGGGGGCCUAGAACCAAAAGCGCAAGGCUCAAGCACCGCUCGAAUGUCCAACCAAACCCCAAGCCUGUGCUGCUCCUUUUAAGGAAGGGCCGCAGAAAGGAGUCUGCCAGACAUGGACUGGCCUAUAGCUGGAGGGAAUGCAGGACUAGGGGUGGAAGAAGAAGAGGCUGUCAGGAAAGGAGCCACAGAAACAAAGAUAAAGCCAGGAGAGCACAGGAGAGUUCCCAGCAGGAGGCGGGGAUGGUGAAGGGGCGGGCCCGGCCACGUUUGAGUAGCUCCAAGCAGGAUGGAACCAGUUCUGCAGAUGCUGCCCACUGUUCCGUGCCUGGGGCUCACCUCCAAGGAGUAGCGCCCAAUCUUCUCACACACAGGAUACUGCUCCCACCCUUCUUCACCAUGGCAAAACCCAGUCAUCGAGACUUGAACAUGAACUCCAUUUUCUCAGAGAACAACAGAAUCUGGCUAGAAUUUCCUUGCAAGUACACCCAAAUGUAG